rnacentral:rRNA from 1 species
UACGAAGGGGGCUAGCGUUGUUCGGAAUCACUGGGCGUAAAGCGCACGUAGGCGGAUCUUUAAGUCAGGGGUGAAAUCCCGAGGCUCAACCUCGGAACUGCCUUUGAUACUGGGGAUCUCGAGUCCGGGAGAGGUGAGUGGAACUGCGAGUGUAGAGGUGAAAUUCGUAGAUAUUCGCGAGAACACCAGUGGCGGAGGCGGCUCACUGGCCCGGAACUGACGCUGAGGUGCGAAAGCGUGGGGAGCAAACAGG